CUCCUACGGGAGGCAGCAGUGGGGAAUCUUUCGCAAUGGACGCAAGUCUGACGAAGCAACGCCGCGUGAGUGAGGAAGGCCCUUUGGGUUGUAAAGCUCUGUUGCCGGGGAAGAAAGUUAGUGUAAGGAAAUGUGCAUUAAUUGACGGUACCUGGUGAGGAAGCACUGGCUAACUACGUGCCAGCAGCCGCGGUAAUACGUAGAGUGCAAGCGUUGUCCGGAAUCAUUGGGCGUAAAGGGUACGCAGGCGGAUAUGCAAGGCAAAUGUGAAAGGUGUAGGCUUAACCUACAGACUGCGUUUGAAACUGUAUAUCUUGAGAGCAGCAGAGGAAGGCGGAAUUCCUGGUGUAGUGGUGAAAUACGUAAAUAUCAGGAAGAACACCAGUGGCGAAGGCGGUCUUCUGGGCUGCAUCUGACGCUCAUGUACGAAAGCUGGGGCAGCGAACGGGAUUAGAUACCCCGGUAGUCCCAGCUGUAAACGAUGGACACUAGGUGUUGGAGGUUCGAAUCCUUCAGUGCCGGAGUUAACGCAUUAAGUGUCCCGCCUGGGGGAUACGGUCGCAAGACUGAAACUCAAAGGAAUGGACGG
rnacentral:rRNA from 1 species